rnacentral:rRNA from 1 species
UACGGAGGGUGCAAGCGUUAAUCGGAAUUACUGGGCGUAAAGCGUGCGCAGGCGGUUUUGUAAGCCAGAUGUGAAAUCCCCGGGCUUAACCUGGGAAUGGCAUUUGGGACUGCAAGGCUUGAGUGCGGCAGAGGAGACUGGAAUUCCUGGUGUAGCGUGAAAUGCGUAGAUAUCAGGAGGAAUACCGAUGGCGAAGGCAGGUCUCUGGGCUGACACUGACGCUCAUGCACGAAAGCGUGGGGAGCAA